GAUGAACGCUGGCGGCGUGCCUAAUACAUGCAAGUCGAGCGAACAGACGAGGAGCUUGCUCCUCUGACGUUAGCGGCGGACGGGUGAGUAACACGUGGAUAACCUACCUAUAAGACUGGGAUAACUUCGGGAAACCGGAGCUAAUACCGGAUAACAUGUUGAACCGCAUGGUUCAACAGUGAAAGACGGUCUUGCUGUCACUUAUAGAUGGAUCCGCGCCGCAUUAGCUAGUUGGUAAGGUAACGGCUUACCAAGGCAACGAUGCGUAGCCGACCUGAGAGGGUGAUCGGCCACACUGGAACUGAGACACGGUCCAGACUCCUACGGGAGGCAGCAGUAGGGAAUCUUCCGCAAUGGGCGAAAUCCUGACGGAGCAACGCCGCGUGAGUGAAGAAGGUCUUCGGAUCGUAAAACUCUGUUAUUAGGGAAGAACAAAUGUGUAAGUAACUAUGCACGUCUUGACGGUACCUAACCAGAAAGCCACGGCUAACUACGUG
rnacentral:rRNA from 1 species